CCUACGGGGGGCUGCAGUGAGGAAUAUUGGUCAAUGGACGAGAGUCUGAACCAGCCAAGUAGCGUGAAGGAUGACUGCCCUAUGGGUUGUAAACUUCUUUUAUAUGGGAAUAAAAUGUUCCACGUGUGGGAUUUUGUAUGUACCAUAUGAAUAAGGAUCGGCUAACUCCGUGCCAGCAGCCGCGGUAAUACGGAGGAUCCGAGCGUUAUCCGGAUUUAGUGGGUUUAAAGGGAGCGUAGGUGGAUUGUUAAGUCAGUUGUGAAAGUUUGCGGCUCAACCGUAAAAUUGCAGUUGAAACUGGCAGUCUUGAGUACAGUAGAGGUGGGCGGAAUUCGUGGUGUAGCGGUGACAUGCUUAGAUAUCACGAAGAACUCCGAUUGCGAAGGCAGCUCACUGGACUGCAACUGACACUGAGGCUCGAAAGUGUGGGUAUCAAACAGGAUUAGAUACCCGAGUAGUC
rnacentral:rRNA from 1 species